GCUCGGACGCGUAGGUUUGUGCUUCCGCUCCCGGGCAAGACGCGAGUGCAAUCCUACAGGCGUUCUUAACGGCACACGGUCCCCGGACGCCGCAUCUCCUGUGGCUGGCAGCGAUCGGCGGCACUCCCUGAAAAUUUGCACAGGUUUUGCGCUGCCUACUGCAGCAUGGAGGUCUGGGCAGGCCUUAACACUUUAACCGCCUUCGCUUAUACGCGUGACGCCACUGUGUUGACGACGUUGUGGUUAUUCCAGUUGACGUCUCACUGUUUUGUUGUCUAAGGAAGAGUGCCCGUUAGUGUGAUUUUUUAUGUCAUCAGAUGUUAGCUAUAUCAGUCAUUUCUAAAUUCCUUCUACUCUUCGGUGCAGAGUUAGGCGAUAUUUCCUCUGAAUUUACAUGCUGAAAGUAAGCAAACUGUGCCCACCACCAUGUAAGUGAGAAACCAUGUGGGUUCUUCAUUGCCUGACCAGGGAUCGAACCCAUGCCCCCUGCAGUGGAAGUGCGUAGUCUUAACCACUGGACCGCCAGGGAAGUCCCAUGUACUGCUGUUCUUUUCAAGGAACUGUACAACAGAAGGACUCCUCUCUAAGAAAAGAAAAAGAAAAAAGGAAGGGAGAGGACAGCAAUGAACAACAAGAAUGAAAAAGCUUGAGGCAGAAAAAUGAAAAAGAAAUAGGUUAUUAGGAACAUGAAGAUCAAUGCUAAAUAAAAAGGAAAGGACGACGUGAACUUAUGUCCCUACAUGCACCCGCUACUCUGAUCAUGACAGUCUUCAAAUGUGCUCCAACAAAUGACUUGUUUCCACGCCUUGCUGCUUUUAACCUCACCUGGGAAUGUUCCUGACUUCUCAGGACACUACAUAUUCAUUAGGGACUUUCAUCCCUGUGGCUUCUAUCACAAAAGUAUUAUUGUUCACAUGUUAGCUUAUACUUUUGAAGAAAACCGUAACGAUGUAAUCAACUUGACAAUUUUAUACUUGUUAGGAUGAACAACGUGAUUUGGAAACUGCAUAAAUCUGGUUCUGCUGAUUCUUUCAUAUUGCUACUCCAUUUUGUUUGGGUUAAACAGACUAAGCUGUGACUUAGGGAAAGGACAAUUGCUAGGAAAACACUGAGUUUACUCUUGGUGAGGGGGACAUGGUCUGGGUCGCAUGUACUCAGAUGCAUGAUGUGUGCGGCCUACUGUAUAUCCUACAUACUGUAUGCGGCAUGUGUAUGCAGUAGGCAACCUGCACUACUGAAUGUGACAGCCCUAUUUGUAGGAACAGAUUUUUAAACCAAAUUUAUCAACUACCGCUAAUAAAACAUUAAAAAAAUAUUGACAGUAACAUGUAGGGCACAAAAAAUGUAAGCAAGUGUCAGUGCUCAAUUAGUACAAAUAGCUAUCCCCUCCCCCUCUUCUAAUUCAUGAAAAAACUGAAAUUUUUUUCUGCAAAUGACUCUAUAUUUCAUUCUCACAUAAAAAAACAAGCCAGAUUGCAUGGUGUGUGUGUGUGUGUGUGUGUGUAAAAUUUUGUAUUCAAAUGUAAUGACAGAGCCCAUACCUGAAAUUUCCCUAAUUGGAAACAUCUAGAAUUAUUCACGGUGUUGUAGGCUACGAAAGAAACCCUUGAGUUCAUAUGAUGUACACAUUGAAUCUCAGUAAGCUGUUCUUAAAGAGAAUUUCUCAGAAUUGCUAGUUCGACUGUACUCUGUCUAAUUACUAGGACUGGAAAUGUUUUCAUCUUCAAGUAUUGUUAAAAAUGUGUGUCCCUCCAAAAAGUCUAUUUGCUCUUGAUCUAAUCUAAUCUCAACUGGGAACAGCCUGUCUCUGCAUUCUAGGCUUUAACCCAGUGUUUUCCCAAAACAGUUUAGAAAAACCCUAAGAUUCGAAGAGUUAUUAUGAAGUGUUCUGUGAAUUAAAAGAAAAAAUA